UUUAUAAUGCCUAUAAAUAAUUCUUGAUGACAUUUACAAGGCUAAGUCGUACCAUUUGUAUAUUCUUCUUCUUCAAAUGGAAAUAGCAUUGUGUUUAUUGUGGCUUCAGCUCUGCUGCUCUCAUAUUUGGGCUCUAGUAGUGGAUUAUUCUUCUGGAGGAGACCUUUAUCAUAGUAUGUCUAAAUUUUCUAGUGACUUUACAGGCUGAAAAUGAUCCAAUUGCUCCAUCUAGAGGAAUUCCUUACGAAGACAUUAAGGGAAACCCAAACUGUUUAUUAAUAGUUACACCAAAAGGUGGACAUUUAGGGUGGGUUGCAGGCGACGAAGCUCCUCGUGGAGAUCCGUGGACUGAUCCUCUGAUGAUGGAUUUCUUGCAAAAUUUGGAAUGUAAUGCAGGAUCACAUACCUCUUCAUCUAAUUCUAGCAGGCCAAAUGAAAACGUCCACCAAUCGACGGAUCAAAUGGACCCCCUUAAGGGGUGGGGCGCAAAGUUGGAGCUUGUGAUGUUUUAUUUUCGGACAUUAAGUUUAAUUGUCUAAACUUCCGGAGACAUUUUCAUGUCUUUCGGUUAGAUAAUAAGCUUUUUGAAAGAAAGAAUCUCCUCGGAGUAUGGUGUAUUCUCAAUACGAGCAAGUGAAUUUCAGUCAAAAAAAA